rnacentral:ncRNA from 1 species
GCCGCAACGGUUCCCGUUUUUUACGGGAUUAAAAGGGAACGCCGUGAAAAUCGGCGACAGUUCCCGCUGCUGUAAACCCCGGCUUUUUUGCGUUGGCCGUAUGCCGUGUAAAAAAGUCCGUGCUUUUGGGACGUUAAGUCACUGCGCAUUUACCAAAAAUGCGUGGGAAGGCCUCAAAAGCGGGGUGAGUCAGAAGACCUGCCAUUGCAU